AGAGAGAGACAUGCGCGCAUAUCAAUAAGCGGAGGAAAAGAAACUAACAAGGAUUCCCUUAGUAACGGCGAGUGAAGCGGGAAGAGCUCAAAUUUGAAAUCUUCAAGGUUUUACCUUGACGAAUUGUAGUUUAAAGAAGUGUUUUCUGCUGAAGUUUUGGUAAAAGUUCUUUGGAAUAGGACAUCAUAGAGGGUGAGAAUCCCGUAUUUGACCAUUAUUUUCCAGCUUUGUGAUACACUUUCAAAGAGUCGGAUUGUUUGGGAAUGCAGUCCAAAAUGGGUGGUAAAUUUCAUCUAAAGCUAAAUAUUGGCGAGAGACCGAUAGCGGACAAGUACCGUGAGGGAAAGAUGAAAAGAACUUUGAAAGGAGAGUUAAACAGUACGUGAAAUUGUCAAAAGGGAAGCGUUUGACACCAGUGUUGUUUUCUCGAAAAUCAAUUAAAAAUGGCUCGAUUUUGUAUUGCUGAGACCUUAAAAGCUCACUGUACAUUUUUCGUGUCUUUUUUAAUGCACUUUUCGUUCAACAAGUCAACAUCAGUUUCUUUUGUUGUAAAAGGGUCAUUGGAAGGUGGCUUUCUUUUCGGAGAAAGUGUUUAUAGCCUUGGCCUCUGCAAUCGAAGAGACUGAGGUCUGCAGCGUAGACUCUUCGGGGUUAGAUACAUUUGUGCUAAGUUAUAGCUUUUUAUAGACAACUUGUUGACUAUAAUUAGUCUUGUAGCUUACUCGCUUAUGCUAUUUUACCUACGCUUAGGAUGUUGAGUCGUAGAGCACGCAG
rnacentral:rRNA from 1 species